GUAAUACAAUGUCUUUUAGCACUUUAAUUUGUUUUUCUAACCCUAGCAGACCUCCACCUUCCCUCACACUCUUCUCAUCAUUCACCACCGAUCCCUCACACUCUUAAAAGUGGCGGUCAAGGUGGCAUGGAUAGAGUGUUAGAGCAGGGCCAAUGUAACCGUAUUAAUCCUAACAGGCAGCUUUGGAAGCAGCGAGAGUUCUGAAUCUUAAGAGCAAUAAAAAUUUCUCAGGACCAUAUGAUGAACAUGUCAUUUUUGUUGCUAAUGAUUCGCACACCGCUCUUAUCUCAUGCUACAUGAAAUCCAUGUACCAAUCAAUUGGUAUCUUUAUGAAUGCCCA